UCCCUGGAGGUCCAGUGGUUAGGACUCCAGGCUUUCACUGCCAAAGGUUCCAGGUUCAAUCCCUGGUCGGGGAA
rnacentral:tRNA from 1 species